AUUGAACGCUGGCGGUAUGCUUAAGACAUGCAAGUCGAACGGAAUCUUCGGAUUCGGUGGCGGACGGGUGAGUAACACGUGGGAAUCUACUGAGUAGUGGGGGACAGCCCGGCGAAAGCCGGAUUAAUACCGCAUACGCCUACGGGGAAAGGCGCAAGCCGCUAUUUAAUGAGCCCGCGUAAGAUUAGCUAGUUGGUGAGGUAAAGGCCCACCAAGGCAACGAUCUUUAGCUGGUCUGAGAGGAUGGCCAGCCACAUCGGGACUGAGACACGGCCCGGACUCCUACGGGAGGCAGCAGUCGGGAAUAUUGGACAAUGGGCGCAAGCCUGAUCCAGCAAUACCGCGUGUGUGAAGAAGGCCUGCGGGUUGUAAAGCACUUUCAGUUGGGAAGAUAAUGACGUUACCAACAGAAGAAGCACCGGCUAACUCCGUGCCAGCAGCCGCGGUAAAGUCUGUACU
rnacentral:rRNA from 1 species